rnacentral:lncRNA from 1 species
CCAUCCCGCCGGAUCGCUCCGCCGAGCUCGCUCCUCACCAUCCUGCUGCUGCCGCUUAUUAUUGGAACAAAUACCACGUAGGAAUCUGAUUGUGAUUAGAAUCUAACUAAUUGGUAAUGAUGAUAAAAUCAAACAAACUUACAGAUGAUCGCUAAAUCCAAAUAAAUACUUAAUUGAUCCGGAAGCGUGCGAGGUACUGCCCUAAGGUGUAUUCCCGUCCUUAUGUGCGGGAUUAACCGGAAACACCGCCCAAAGUACGACCGGAACUCCUCCUCCUAUAAGCACGAUCGCGGAAGAGGUUGACGGAGACUCUUUCAACACCCGAUGAUAAAAAGAUCGAAUGAACUGAAUGAAAAUACUAAAUAAUUUAA